CCCUUAGACACUCUAGGCGGCACGCGCGCUACAAUGGGUGGAAGAACGUGUUACUGUCUCCGAAAGGAGGGGUGAAUCACGAAUUCUUGCCCGUGAAUGGGAUAGUUUGUUGCAAUUUUCGGACUUGAACUAGGAAUCCCUUGUAAACAUGCUCAAGAAUAGCGUGUUGAAUACGUCCCUGCCGUUUGUACACACCGCCCGUCGUUUCUUCCGACUGAUACUCAUUGUGAGUUGCAAGGACCCUUUAUUGGGAAAUUGCUGCAAAUGCUUUGUAUUGGAGGAAGAAAAAGUCGUAACA
rnacentral:rRNA from 1 species